CCGGCACGGGUGAGUAACACGUAUCCAACCUGCCGUCUACUCUUGGACAGCCUUCUGAAGGAAGGUUAAUACAAGAUGGCAUCAUGAGUCCGCAUGUUCACAUGAUUAAAGGUAUUCCGGUAGACGAUGGGGAUGCGUUCCAUUAGAUAGUAGGCGGGGUAACGGCCCACCUAGUCUUCGAUGGAUAGGGGUUCUGAGAGGAAGGUCCCCCACAUUGGAACUGAGACACGGUCCAA
rnacentral:rRNA from 1 species